GGGCUCCGGAGCUCUGCCUGGGGGUCUCUGGGCGCACCCUGGCGGUCCGCGGGGCCCUGGCGUUGAGGAGCCGUCGGCCUUACCCUGCGGGUUGCGAGGGGGAACUCCCACAGCCCAGGCGCAUGACCACGGGGGCGAAGGCCAGCGUGCCCUCCACGCAGUGCUUGCGGAUGCUGUCCAGGAUGCUGGGUGGGAAGUGGAUGUGCAGGUCGUUCCAGUCUGAGCGCAGCAGCUCGAAGUCCACAGCGCCCACGCUGAAUGUGCGCUGCCAGUCGAUAGCAUCUUCUCGCCAGUGCCCGGGCACGCGGCCCGCGGCAUCCUCCUCGCUGUCCUCUGAGGCCACCUCGUCGCCAGGGGCCCGGUCCUCCUCCUCCCCCUCGCCCUCGGCGAGCAGCUGCGGCCGGGACACCUGGGACAAGCUCAGGAAGGAGGUCAUGGGCUGCGCGGCAGCCGAGGAGUUCACAUCCGGUGUGGGCGCGUGGGCCUGCGGGGCCCCGAGGGUGGACGGCGCGGGGGGCUCUGUGCCUGGGGGCCCGCGGGACCUGCGCCGGGGCCGAGGUGCACGCAGCUGCGCUCGUGGCACGGCGCGGGCACGCAGGAGGACGCCGGCCAGGGGAGGCCAGGCCGGGCCACGUGGGGACACCCGCGGUCGGGGCCGCACGCGCGUCACAUACACCUUGGCAGGAGGCUUCUCAGCGGCGCGCGGGGGUGGCGCGUGGCCCAGGAAGAGGGACAGGGGGCGCAUGGCCCAGCGCAGCGCGGGAGUGGCGGGACUGAGGGCCGUGGGAAGCUGAGAGCUCUGGCUCGCGCUCCGCCAGCGGUGGUGUGGGAGGCCUGCGUCCGCUCCGCGGUGGGCCCACCUCGGUGGGCUCCAGGCUGUCCAGCAGCUCCCCCUCGUCCUCUUCGUCCAGGAAGUCUGCAGGCAGCGGAGGUGAGCGGGCGGCCAGGGCCAGCGGGGCUGCGGGGCGGGGUGGGCGUGGGGAGGCUCACCCUCGGGGCUGAGGAACAAGAAGGCCCGGCGCUGCUGCUCCUCCUCCCCGUCCUCCCCUUCCUGCUUGUCCAUCUUCAUGUAUUUGUAGAAACCGAACCUGGAGCAGCAGAGCGUCAGAGCCGCCGUCCUGGUGAGGCCUCACCCCGUGCCCUCCGGCCCACCUACCUUUCCAGGUACCGGGGAGAUUCUCGGUAGAAGCACUUGUUCUCCGUCUCCAUGUGCGUGAGGCGGGUGUAGUCAUUGGGAUACACGAAGGACAGGUAUACCUGGGGGAGAGGCGAGGCGAGGGCUCAGGGCCUCCGGGGAACGAGGGGGUGCCUGGAGCACAGUGGGGCUCUGGUCUGGGCACGUACAAACUGCAGCCCCUGGUAUCUGGCGAUGGGGAAGUCCUUGAGAACGUAGGUAGGUGCGUAGGCACAGGGCUCCAGCACGCUCUCCAGGCUCCAGGGCUCUAUCCGGGGUGCUGUGGGCGGGGUCCUUGUCAAGGGCUGGGCCGGUCCGCCCCAGCCCAGCCCAGCCCGGCCUGGCCAGGCCCCUCCACUCCCUGGGGGCCGGCUCACUGAGGAAGAAGCUGUCCCUGGGGUCUGGGCGCAGCAUGUCUGCGCUGGACUCCUCCUUGGGCAGGUGGCCCCUGACAUGGCUGGCUGGAGACUGGGGCACGUGGGCCACAUGGUCCAUCUUCAGGGAGGACUCAUCUGUGGGCCCAAGGUUGAUCCAGGUCCUCCUUCCCGCCCAGCUGGGCCACCCCCAGAGCCGCUGCCUCCCCAGGUGCCCAGAGUACCUGUGUAAAGGGAGAUGUGAGCAGCGCUGAUGACUUCAAACUUCAGGCCCGGCAGGUAUGUGCGCCACUGGGGUGGGACAGAGUGGGAGUGAGCCCUCAAGGGAGGCAGGCGUCUCAGGGUGGGUGGGCCAGGGUUGUCAGCGCCUGGGAAGGGAGGCUGGCAGGAGGCCUUGAAGGCUGAGACCCUAGGCGCAGAUCUUGACCCCUAACCCUCCCCGUCCUGCCCUCUGCACUUCCAGAGAUCUUCCUGCAACUUCACCUACUCUCUGGCUUUGUACCGUCGGCUUCCUGAGGUCACUGGUGGCCUCAUAAGGGUCAGACCCCGUGCCCCCACCAAGCCCCUGCCUGGCCCGUCCCCAGCUGCUCUUCUGGUCUCCUUGGCAGAUGCCAUCCCUCUCCUUGGCCCCAAGUUGAGCUUCCUAGGGGCUGACUCUGGCCCUCUUAUACCCAGCUCUUCCUGGGCCCCUCACCAACUCCCUUGGCUUCCCCAGGGUCACUUCAGAGCCUGCCUGUACAGCAUGCUGAGCUGGGUGACACCAACAUGCCAGACACAUGGCACUGCCUAUGGGCCCGGGGCUGAGCACCCCUCCGUGACCCUGGUCAUGGUUCCCUGCCAACUGCACCCCCGCCACGUUCUGGCCCUCGGUCUCGCUGUGGAAAAUGCUUCCCAUCUCCAACUUGCUCUUCUUCCCUCCCAGGCUCCUCCCCAGCUCAUGGGUUUUCCUGGAAUGGACAUCCCACUGGCUUGUUCUCAGGACAGUCUGCACAGUCCAGCACCACCCCGCACUCCCCCACCUGGCCGCCGGACCCCUCGGGGGCUGGAAUUAAUAUGCUGCAUAUCCCACUCCCAAUUCUACUUUUCCACCUCCAGGCGGACUGUCACUCAUCAGCAAGGCUCUUCUGUGCCCCUUGCAGUGGGGACCACACUGUUGUGCCCUUGGGCGAGGUAGAAGCUGGAUGGGGAGGGGAGGCACUCACACCCACUUCCACAUGGUCUGAGCCCCGGUCAUCCUGCUUGUGAAGCAGUUCAAAGUAGUACCUCCGGGAGGCCAUGAGCCUAUGGAGAGAAGGCAAGGCUUGCCUUUCAUACAGAACAGAUGGACAGCCGGGACGGGCAGCAGCUCCCAGGCCUCCUGGCUAGUCGCUUGGGGACAGUGGUCUGGCCAGGAUGGUGCUGGUACAGUGUGUGACAGGGUACAGAGGCUGAGGAGAUGCCACUGGCCUUCUUCUCACAUGCUAACACACGUGUGCAUAUGCACACAAUUGCUGGUACACACGUGUCAGUCACACACACCAACACACAGGUGAAUACACACAUAUGCUUGUGUACACACCCUAGUCACACAUACCAACAUGUGCAUAUGAGUACUUGUGCAAACGCCAGUCAUUCACAUACACCAAGUGUGUAAACACAAGUGCUUAUACACACAAGUCAUACACCAACACACACACAAACAUGUGCUUGUAAACGCACCACUGACAUACCAACACAUGCAUAUACACGAGUGCUGGUACACACACCAGCAUGUGUGCAUACACAGAUCAAUGUUUGCAUAUACAUCACAGUCACAGACACCAACAUGUGUG
ensembl:lncRNA